UCAUACAAGAAACCCGAAUCAAUAGCCUUCGGCGUAAAGAGUGGCCACAUGCUAUCUGCACCAACUAAGAUCAAAAUGCAACUAAGCUGUCAUAAGCCUAAGAUUCACCUAAACCCAACCCAAAAUCAUCUUAGCCCUAACGAUCAAUUUCAACCCACGAAAGCUAGGGCCCAAACUGGGAUUAGAUACCCCACUAUGCCUAGCCCUAAAUCCAGAUAUUCCCCACACCCCUGUAUCCGCCCGAGAAUACGAGCAUAAACGCUUAAAACUCUAAGGACUUGGCGGUGCCCCAAACCCACCUAGAGGAGCCUGUUCUAUAACCGAUAAUCCACGAUUCACCCAACCACCCCUUGCCAACACAGCCUACAUACCGCCGUCGCCAGCCCACCUCUAAUGAAAGCACAAUAGUGAGCUCAACAGCCCUCCCGCUAGUAAGACAGGUCAAGGUAUAGCCCAUGGGGUGGAAGAAAUGGGCUACAUUUUCUAACAUAGAACAAACGAAAAAGAACGUGAAACUCGUCCUUAGAAGGAGGAUUUAGCAGUAAAGUAAGACCAUACCUUCUUAAGCUUACUUUAAGAUGGCCCUGAGGCACGUACAUACCGCCCGUCACCCUCUUCACAAGCCACCAACACAAUAAAUAAUACCCACCCUGGCCAAGACGAGCAGUCGUACAA
rnacentral:rRNA from 1 species